UCGGGUUGUAAAGCACUUUUGUCCGGGAAGAAAUCCCUGGUCCUAAUAUGGCCGGGGGAUGACGGUACUGGAAGAAUAAGCACCGGCUAACUACGUGCCAGCAGCGCGGUAAUCGUAGGGUGCGAGCGUUAAUCGGAAUUACUGGGCGUAAAGCGUGCGCAGGCGGUGAUGUAAGACCGAUGUGAAAUCCCCGGGCUUAACCUGGGAACUGCAUUGGUGACUGCAUCGCUCGAGUAUGGCAGAGGGGGGUAGAAUUCCACGUGUAGCAGUGAAAUGCGUAGAGAUGUGGAGGAAUACCGAUGGCGAAGGCAGCCCCCUGGGUCAAUACUGACGCUCAUGCACGAAAGCGUGGGGAGCAAACAGGAUUAGAUACCCUGGUAGUCCACGCCCUAAACGAUGUCAACUGGUUGUCGGGCCUUCAUUGGCUUGGUAACGUAGCUAACGCGUGAAGUUGACCGCCUGGGGAGUACGGUCGCAAGAUUAAAACUCAAAGGAAUUGACGGGGACCCGCACAAGCGGUGGAUGAUGUGGAUUAAUUCGAUGCAGCGCGAAAAACCUUACCUACCCUUGACAUGUAUGGAACCCUGCUG
rnacentral:rRNA from 1 species